UACAGAGGUGGCAAGCAUUGUUCGGAUUCAUUGGGCGUAAAGGGUCCGUAGGCGGCUUGGUAAGUUGGAUGUGAAAUCCCACAGCUUAACUGUGGAACUGCAUUCAAAACUGCCAGGCUAGAGUGUGGGAGGGGUGAGGGGAAUUCCCGGUGUAAGGGUGAAAUCUGCAGAGAUCGGGAGGAACACCAGUCGCGAAGGCGCCUCACUGGUCCACUACUGACGCUCAGGGACGAAAGCUAGGGUAGCAAACGGG
rnacentral:rRNA from 1 species